rnacentral:misc_RNA from 1 species
AAAAUACACCAAGAAUCAACUAUAUAAUCUUAGCAGAUUUGCAUAUAAAAAUGAAAUCAUAUGCACUAAAUUGAAAUUAAUCAUUCUAUUCCUAUGUGAAAGAAGAAUUACAAGGUAAGAAUUCUUCUUGUCCUAAACGGAGAGGACAGGGGAGCCAUAGAAAAUGUAUAAAGCAAAAGACAUGCAAAGAUCGGCGGCUGAUUCUUGAUUCAUCCAUCCUUUCUUGAUAUAACAUCUAUGAACCAAGAAAAAGACUUUAUUCGUUUCUAUGUUCAAUGCUUCUUCA